GACGAACGCUGACGGCGUGCCUAACACAUGCAAGUCAAGGGCAGUUUACUGCACUGGCGCACGGGUGAGUAACGCGUAGAUUACCUGCCUUCUACCCUGUGACAACUUCGGGAAACCGGAGCUAAGCACAGAUGAGGCCUACGGGUCAAAGGUAACGGUAGAAGAUGGGUCUGCGUCUGAUUAGAUAGUUGGUGAGGUAACGGCUCACCAAGUCAACGAUCAGUAGCGGGUUUGAGAGGAUGAUCCGCCACACUGGAACUGAGACACGGUCCAG
rnacentral:rRNA from 1 species